CUGAUACAGGGACUGUGGUUUAAGGUUCUGUUAUACAGGGGCUGUGUUUUAGGGUUCUGUGAUACAGGGGCUGUGGUUUAGGAUUCUCUGAUACAGGGACUGUGGUUUAAGGUUCUGUUAUACAGGGGCUGUGGUUUAGGGUUCUGUGAUACAGGGGCUGUGGUUAUGGUUCUGUGAUACAGGAGCUGUGGUUUAGGGUUCUGUGAUACAGGGGCUGUGGUUUAGGGUUCUGUGAUACAGGGGCUGUGGUUGUGGUUCUGUGAUACAGGGGCCGUGGUUUAGAUUUCUGUG